CAGCACGGCCAGAUGGACUGGGGACAGCAAAGAGUCAUCAGGCCAGGUAGUCCUGAGGCAUGGUCCUCAGGACUAUGAGUCAGAAACAUUUAUUUUAGUAUCAAAAUUGACUACAAAGUGUACAUAAGGCCAUAUGUCCACUCCGCCCACUUCGCCUACCUUCAUUGAAUGGGGCUCCCCAACCAACACGUUCAAAGGAUCACGGCAGUUUGAGACUGAAAAGACUUAAACGGAUUGACCAUGCAACGCAUGCUUCCAGCAAGAUGCACAGCCAACAACUAUGGUUUGCAUGCCCUGCCGAAGGACCCUAUCAUGCGGAAUAGGUGGCUGGAGUUUGUUGGUCCCCAGUGAUGUAUAGAGACCAGCAAGGGGGCCCUCGCUGUGAGCAUUCCAAUUGCAAGUAUCCGGCCAGCAACCUUCACCUGUCUGCGGCAUCAUUUGUAAACAAUACAGAAGAUGCAUAUAAUGUCCGGAGCAUAACCUAGCUUGGUAGAACAAGAUUGAUCUGAAGUGAAAUAGAAAGAUGAACGCAACGAUCAGGUUGGUUUCACCAGGCUAAUCAUAAUCAGUGCUGUGUGUGUGUGUGUGCGUGUGACCGACCAGUAUCUUUGAUGAGGGGCCAGGAUCUGAUCUACGCUGCUAUGCCCAUCAAAGGGGCUCUGGCAAAUACCUCACUUCCAGCCUCACCUCUUACCUGCUCACCAACGGUCGUUGAUGGGGAGAACAGCAUUAGAAACAUGUAUGGGGCCAGGACAUGGAGACUUGCAAGAUGAUGUGAUGAAGUCCAGACUGACAGAUGGGCUUGAUACUGAUGUCUCUGAAAGGAGAGAGAGCUUACACUCUGCAUAAACAUUUUUACUAGAAACAACUUUGACUUGUAUUGUCUUUUUUAAUUAGUCACAGUGUCUGUAUCGGCUGGGAAUGACAAUGAAAGGUGUUCAUUGUUAUGUUAGCAGAACACUGCUUCUAUGGUAUUAUGUAAAGUUUUUUUUAUUCCACAUCUUUCUGCUACUACAUUUAAAAGUUAUCAAAACACUUAGCUUAAAAUAACAAUUGCAUUCUUCUCAUAUUACUCUGUAGGCUACUGACCUAUUCAAAGUUUCCUCCGGCAUCUCAUCAUACAUCUGUAGUUGUUGAACUCGCCCUCUAGGA